rnacentral:rRNA from 1 species
ACGAGACCUUCGGGUCUAGUGGCGCACGGGUGCGUAACACGUGGGAAUCUGCCCUUAGGUACGGAAUAACUCAGGGAAACUUGAGCUAAUACCGUAUGAUGUCUUCGGACCAAAGAUUUAUCGCCUAAGGAUGAGCCCGCGUCGGAUUAGCUAGUUGGUGGGGUAAAGGCCUACCAAGGCGACGAUCCGUAGCUGGUCUGAGAGGAUGAUCAGCCACACUGGGACUGAGACACGGCCCAGACUCCUACGGGAGGCAGCAGUGGGGAAUAUUGGACAAUGGGCGAAAGCCUGAUCCAGCAAUGCCGCGUGAGUGAAGAAGGCCUUCGGGUUGUAAAGCUCUUUUACCCGGGAAGAUAAUGACUGUACCGGGAGAAUAAGCCCCGGCUAA